rnacentral:rRNA from 1 species
GUAGGUGGCAAGCGUUGUCCGGAAUUAUUGGGCGUAAAGCGCGCGCAGGCGGUUCUUUAAGUCUGAUGUGAAAGCCCACGGCUCAACCGUGGAGGGUCAUUGGAAACUGGAGAACUUGAGUACAGAAGAGGAAAGCGGAAUUCCACGUGUAGCGGUGAAAUGCGUAGAGAUGUGGAGGAACACCAGUGGCGAAGGCGGCUUUCUGGUCUGUAACUGACGCUGAGGCGCGAAAGCGUGGGGAGCAAACAGGAUUAGAUACCCUGGUAGUCCACGCCGUAAACGAUGAGUGCUAAGUGUUAGGGGGGUUUCCGCCCCCCUUAGUGCUGCAGCUAACGCAUUAAGCACUCCGCCUGGAGUACGGCCGCAAGGCUG